rnacentral:piRNA from 1 species
CAAACUGUAUUAAAAAUAACC